CCCUUAGAUGUCCUGGGCCGCACGCGCGCUACACUGAUGCAUUCAACGAGUAUUUCCUUGGCCGAGAGGCCUGGGCAAUCUUUUAAACCUGCAUCGUGAUAGGGAUAGAUUAUUGCAAUUAUUAAUCUUGAACGAGGAAUUCCUAGUAAACGCGAGUCAUCAGCUCGCAUUGAUUACGUCCCUGCCCUUUGUACACACCGCCCGUCGCACCUACCGAUUGAAUGUUUCGGUGAAGAUUCCGGAUAGGACUUUUUUGAUUUAUUUCAAUUUUGUCUUAAAAGCUAUCUAAACCUCAACAUUUAGAGGAAGGUGAAGUCGUAACA
rnacentral:rRNA from 1 species